rnacentral:rRNA from 1 species
CCUACGGGGGGCAGCAGUAGGGAAUCUUUCACAAUGGGCGAAAGCCUGAUGGAGCAACGCCGCGUGCAGGAUGAAGGCCUUCGGGUUGUAAACUGCUUUUAUAAGCGAGAAAUAUGAUGGUAACUUAUGAAUAAGGAUCGGCUAACUACGUGCCAGCAGCCGCGGUCAUACGUAGGAUCCGAGCAUUAUCCGGAGUGACUGGGUGUAAAGAGUUGCGUAGGUGGGAUAAUAAGUAGCUAGUGAAAUCUGGUGGCUCAACCAUUCAGUCUAUUAGCUAAACUGUUAAGCUCGAGACCGUUAGGGGUAACUGGAAUUUCUAGUGUAGGAGUGAAAUCCGUAGAUAUUAGAAGGAACACCAAUAGCGUAGGCAGGUUGCUGGGACGGUUCUGACACUAAGGCACGAAAGCGUAGGGAGCAAACGGGAUUAGAUACCCGGGUAGUC